rnacentral:lncRNA from 1 species
CAAACAUAAUUAGUGUGUGUGUGUGUGUAUAAAAGAAAUGAUAUAUCAAGUGGCGAUCUGAUCUAGGAUUUUGAUUUUAUUAAAGUCGGAGACAACAAGAGAAUUUAUAAUUAAAAGUAUGUUAAUGCCGCUGUUGGCAACUUGUCCUAGAAUUUAAUCCUGAAUUAUGAGUCUCAAUUGGAAAAUUUUGCUUGAUAUAUUCAUCAUUUUGUUUAUUAUUUGACUGCUAUUAUAUAUAACAUGCGCCCAUGCAUGCAUGUGUCAGUACUCAGUCCAAGAUUUCCGCCGCCGGAGUUUUCAGUUGGAGGGCUGGUAUCGGUUGCAAAAACAAACGUCAUGCCAUCUGCAGAAUCCGUUGCAUUUGGGUAGGGAGAGAUUCUAAUGGUGAAGGUGGUACUAAUCAUGGCUGGCCAUGCAGUCACAGGUUGGCUAUAUAAAACCCGUCCAGCCUUCUUUAGCGGCAGCUGAUCUGGUGAUUCUGGUGAAGGGUCUGAUGUGAGGCUUAAGUAGCCAUAACUUGGAGUCACUGCGCCCAUGCAAAUUAGGCUGCCAUCGCUACAACUUUUUGGGUUGAAUGAGGAAAAUGAGAAGCUAACAGGUUGAUCCACAGGGAUUGAUGAAGAAGCACUGGGAAGAAAAAUUGAGAGGAGUAGUAGGAAAAUCAUUUUGUUUGGGACGAAAAUUUGAGGGCUACUUCUCGAAUGGCAUUGCUCAACAUCACAUGUACUUAUAUAGCAUUUAUUUUACUUUAUGGAUAAAAGUUUUUCCCUAAUCUCAUCUUUUAUUUGAGUAAAUAUAUUUGUAUGAUUUAUAAUUGGUAAAAGAAAAUAUAACAAUUAAGUAAAUCUUAUUCAUGUAUUAUAUAUAUAUUUAAAAAAUAUAUAAAAAUAUCUUUAUCUAUUAAAUUGUGCCUUUUUCCCAAAAAAAAAAAAGUUGUGCCGAAUUCACGUUCGCAUAUAUUUUAUUUGAGUCUUUUCUUAAUCUAAUUUGAUAUUUUAUUUGAGUAAAUAUAUUUGUAAGAUUAAUAAUUAGUAAAGGAUACUAUAAUAAUUAAAUAAAUUUUAAUCAUGUAUUAAAAUAUAUAUGUAUUAAUAUAUAUAUAUAUAUAUAUAUAUAUAUAUAUAUAUAUAUAAACUUGAAGUAUAUAUUAAAAAUAUCUUUAUCUAUUCAGUUGUGCCUUUUUUCAAAAAAAAAAAAAAGUUGUGCCAAAUUCACGUUUGCUAAAUAGGCCGACAAUGUAGGUGUGCAAUCAAGUAGGGAUGGCAAUGGGGAGGGGACCAACAUUCCCGUACUCAUCCCCGAUAUUCUGUAUAUGUCCCCAUUCCCUUUCUGUUCUCGUCAGAAUUGUUUGAGGGGAUCCUCGUCCCCUCUCCGAAUAAUAACAAGAGAUCCCCGAGGGUUUCCAAUCCCCGAAUAACUGAUUUUUUUUUUAGUUUUCAAACUUAAUUUAAUCAUAUUAACUUAAAAAUAUAUAAAAUAAAAUGAAAAUGAUCAUGAAUGGGCCUUAUAUUUCAUUCUACUCCUUCAAACUUUGGUAUAUAUAAUAUUCAAAUAAUGAUUUUCAAAAUAAAAUUCAAAUAAUGUGAUUUUUAUACAAUAUUGACGUGAUUGUUGUCUAUGAGUAAUGAUACCUGCUGAUCACCGACUAUGGCGUAACAAAUCCCCAUGUGUGGCUGCUAGUUGACGUUGCGAUGAAUUAGGCUUCUCAGCCACUAACAACGCAACAUGCUACUGGGCUACGAUGAGAUGGGUGCUUACUACUGCACGAAUGAUUUGGAAAGGAUGAAUAAGAAUGUGAGAAAGUGAUUUAGAGUUUGAUUUGUGAGUUAUGAGCUUGUGAAAUUGUGUGCUUUUGGUUGAAGUUAAAUUCAAAUUAUAUUAAACAUUUUAUAUUAACUAAUAUUUAUAUUUUUUGUAUAAAUAUUUUGAUAUUUGUUAUUUACAAUAAUAUUUAAUAUUUUAAAUUUAUUAUUUGUUGACUAAUAAUUUUAGAAAAAUAAAAACAAAAAUGAGGAAAUGGGGAGGGGAUGGGGAUUCUAUCUCAUCCCCAUUGCUUUUCCGAAUAAAUAAUUAAGUAAAAAAUUAUCCCCGUCCUUUUUCUGAGUAAAAAAUUAAGUAUAAAAUUAUUUCAUACCCUCUCUAAAUGAGCAAAAUCCUCAAAGACUCUAUCCCCGUAGAAAUUUCUGCCAUCCCUACUAUCAAGCUUUGAGCCUUCGACCAUCAAAGCGAUCGUUUUCAUCACAGCCGCCAGCCAACUUGAUUCAAAUUAUCCAGAAUUGGAGAUAUACUAAAAGUCUACAACCCACUCGAUCAAUCAUCUUUUGUCUUUUUCCCAUAAAUGCAGUAUAAACGUUUUCCAAUUUGCAGUAUCAAACACCAGUCAAUUAAUGAAGGCUGUAUAAUGAAUAUUAAUAUGAUGGGGCCCUUGGCCUACAAAUUGCAAUUUCCAUUUUGUUUCUUUUUCUCCUUUUCUUCUCCUUCUUAAUUAUCGCUUCUUGUGGCUUAACCUGCGGUCCACUGAUUAAAGGCAUACUCGCUUGACCGACGCGCCUCUCCCACCCUAAGCCACUUAUAUUAACUUUUAAUUUUUUAUAACUCCUAUUAUCUCUCUAAUUAAAGGAUUGUUAUCACUUAUAUUUAUGAUCUACUACUUAUCAUUUUAUGAUUGUAUUACUAUAAAAACAAACUCUCCUUAUAUAUAAUUCUUCUCUAGAUUAUUUUGUCUCUUAUUACUUUCUCACUUUCUGUUAUUAUUAUGUUCUGUUCAAAAUUGAUAAAUAAUUGAACAAUAAAUAAAUUAUACUACCGAUAUUUAUAAUUGAGGGAGUCAAGCCAUCAAGGGUCGGUUUUGGAAUUAUACUACCAAUAUUUGCUCUUUUGGCUUUUGACCUUUUCACCCUUGUCAUGAAUUAAUCAUCAUCUUCAUUAACCGAACUUGCUCAGAUGAUAGCAUAUUUCUACUAUGCUUAUUGCGUUUAAAACUGUAAUCUUUAGAUUAUAUAAGUUAAAAUCCAACGGCUAGUUCAAAUGGGGACAGAAGAAGGGGUACCUUACCAUAGGAGUAAAGGUAGCUGGACCCAUAUAUAUUAUGGUAAUUGAUAAAUAUUUUUUAUUACUAAUUUCAUUUGUAACUUAUUCUAAUCAGAUUCAAAAUGAUAAUAAGAACAUUUAAAAAAUAACUACUAAAUGCUUCGCACAAUGAAAAUUAAAAAACAACAUAUUAUAAAAAAUUUCAUCAGAAACGUUUUCAUAAUUUUCAUACUUUAGAUAAAUUAUCAAAUAUAUUUUUUCUACUGUUUUUAUUUUGUAUACUAUUUUAAAAAUAAACUACUAAAUGCUUUUCACCUUUUAAAAAGAUUGCAUAAAAAUAUCAUUUUUCUUCUCUAAAACAUCACAUCAGACAUAAAAAAAAUAUUAAUUAAACGAUUAUCUAUCCAUAUUUUCUCCUUCCCUCAGGCACAAGAACGUGCACACUGAUACGUCCAGGAGUGAGAGAGAGCCCAUUACCUUGUACAAAACGCACUUCGAAGGUUUUGUAAAUUGUAAUAUCCGACACCGAUUAAUAGAGGGUCCGAUUAUGUUGGAACCCAUUUAAGGUAUAACACUAUUUUAUAACUAAAUAAUUAAAUUUAUAAUAAAUUUUUUAUUAUUUAUCACUUUACGUGUAUGGUUGUAAUUCGUACUCUAUCUCAUAAUAACUCUAAAAUAACCAUAUCCAUCAAUUAAUUAAGCUAGUAUGCUGUGUGUCUGAGAUCUAGGGGCCUGAUAUAUGAUGAGCCUUUGGCCGGCAAAGACAAGCAAAUCAUUGAAAAAUAACAAUGUUUUUACGAAGACAUGAAUAUACGUUAUAAUUUCGUGACUUGAAUUUAAUCCCUUCAAUCCGCAUCAUGAAUAUAGGAGUGACUCUCGGAUCUCACACGUGCCAUGUUUCUUCAUCUUGGAAAUUGAUGAUUAUCUUAUCUUCGACGGCGCCAAAGCAACGGAACAUUGUGAUUCACUUAAAUAUUCACGUUUUUUUUAGGCUAUUAGAUUUCAAUUUUAUAUACUCUUUAGGAUAUAUGAUUUUCUGGACUGUGUGAACUAUAAUUUAGAAUUUUAGAUAAUUCAAUUGUACAUCGUGAGCGAAUUCUCUUUUUAACAUAUCAAUUCAAUUGUACGGCAUUAGAAUAACAUACUGGAGAUUUGAUCAGAACUCCAAAAUACAUCCAGUUAACGAAAUGGGAUUUGAAUAUUAAUUUCACACAACAAUGUUACUUUUGACAAAAUAUUGAGUUACUUUCAAAAUUAAAUCUAAAAAUGAAACACUCAAAGCAAUAUUGACAUUAAAUAAUUUAUGUUGCAAAAUGAUGAUAUCAAUUAAUUUUUUUUCAUGUUAAUAAAAAAAUUAGAGAUGAGAUUCAAUUCAAAAUUAAAUCCAACAAGAAACUAGUAGUUUUAAGAGCACAUUUCACAAAAACCACGUAGACAUAUAUUAUAUGACUUAAAUUUUACAUUCGGUAAAUAUUAAUUUAUAUAUAAGAUGUGUCCAAUGGAAAAAUGUGGUUUUUUAAAAAUAUUAUCUUAUAGAUUUUAUUAAAUUAUUAACACGUUGGCCCUAAGUAAGAAAUAACAAAAACUAUUAUUUAAUUAAGAUUAUUAAUUUAUCGAGCAUUAAGAUCGUAUUGUAAUUAACUGGUCUUUUCUCAAUGCAAAAUAAAUUAACAAAUCAUAUAAAUGAAGUGACAUAUGGCAUACUACAAUUUCUUUCUUAGCUAAUCUGGCGAGGAUAUGGUAAAAGCAAAAUAAAAAUAUGAUCGGCCUAAGGCCUAAUUUAUACAAAAUAUUUAAUAACAUAAAAGCAAGUAAUCAAGCAUCGAAAUUAGGGAUUCGUCUUCCAAAUAUAUAUGCAUGUUAUAUUGGCAAUGAUUUUGUCAUAUAUAAAUGUCAUUAUGGAUAUAGUCAAAUAUAUCCUGAUUUAGAAAGAAUUUUGAUGUGGAUUCUUAUCACAUACUUCUUUUUUAUUAUCCAUAGAUGUCAGAAUGAAUUUUCAUGCGAAUUUUGGAGUCCACAACGUUGUGAAACUCUAAAUUCACACAAUAUUAGUACGGACAUCGCAUGAGAAAAUGACUCUACAUGAUAUUUCUAAUGGUGCGUUUACUUUUCGGAUUUGGGAAUCAGAAUCCAGACUCGGAAUGAUUGACGGCGUUUACUUUGCAAAUAUGGAGCAUGAAUCGGAAUCGGAAUGGUGGGGCCCACCACUAUUUAGGAAUGGGGAAUAAGAGAUUGAUUCCCAUGGGGAGGUGGGAAUGAGUCUCUCAUUCUUGGGAUUGAUCAUUUUGCCCUCCCCAAAAUAAAAAAUGUAAACUUUAUCCUCUUUUAUAAUUAAUUAAUUAAUAUAAUAUUAUAAUUAAUUAAUUAAUAUAAUCUUAUAAUUAAUUAAUAUAAUAUAUUAUGAUUAAUUAAUAUAUAAUUAUAAUUAAUUAAUAUAAUAUUAUAAUUAAUUAAUAUAAUAUAUUAUGAUUAAUUAAUAUAUAAAUAUAUUAUUAAUUAUAAUUAUUAAAAAUUAUAGUUCUUGAAUAAAUAAUCACAAUAAUUAAUAGAUUAUUAUUAUUAUAGUUAAUUAAUUAAUUAUUACUAUUAAUUAAUAUAUUAACAUAUUAUUAAUAAUUAUUAUUAUUUUUGAAUAAAUUCUCACAAUAAGUAAUAUAUUAUUAUUGUAAUUAAUUAAUUAAUAUACUAUUAUAAUAAUUAUUAAUAAAAUUAUUAUAAUUAAUUCAUAUAUUAUUAAUUAAUUAAUAUAUUUAUUACUAAUAAUUAAUAUAUUAAUAUAUUAUUAACAAUAAUUAUAAUUAUAAUUUUUGAAUAAAUAAUCACAAUAAUUAAUAUAUUAUUAUUGUAAUUAAUUAAUAUAUAAUAAUAAUAAUUAUUAUUAAUAAAAUUAUUAUAAUUAAUUCAUAUAUUAUUAAUUAGUUAUUAUAUUUAUUACUAAUAAUUAAUAUAUUAAUAUAUUAUUAACAAUAAUUAUAAUUAUAAUUUUUGAAUAAAUAAUCACAAUAAUUAAUAUAUAUAUAUAUAUAUAUAUAUAUAUAUAUAUAUAUUAUUGUAAUUAAUUAAUUAAUAUACUAUUAUAAUAAUUAUUAAUAUAAUUUUUAUAAUUAAUUCAUAUAUUAUUAUUAUUAUUAUAAUUAAAUAAAUAAAUUAUAUAAUUAUUACUACUAAUUAAUAUAUUAUUAACAAUAAUUAUUAAUAAUUAUAAUUUUUGAAUAAAUAAUCAUAAUAAUUAAUAUAUUAUUUUAAUUAAGUAAUUAAUAUUAAUGUUAUUAGUUAAUAUAUUUUUAUAAUAAUUGUUAAUAUAGUUAUUAUAAUUAAUUAAUUAAUUUUUUUACAAUUAAUUAAUAUAUUAGUUAAUAAUAAUUAUGACAAUAAUCCAUUAAGUACUUUUUAGUAAUUUGUUACAAUCCAACUCAUUCUGAUUUCGAUUCCAAGACAAAGUAAACAUAUUAAUGACAAUCCAGCUCAUUCCGAUUUCGAUUCCUACAGUUCAAGUAAACAACUUAUUUUAAUUUCCAUUGCAGCCCAUUCACAUUAUUGUCCAUUCUGAUUUCAGCUCAUUCCGAUUUCAGUUUAGUAAACGCAGCAUAAAUGUCAAAGUUGCAACGUAAUCAAUAGAAACUGAAUAUGAACAUUUCUACACAAGUACAUACAGUACAUCUCAGAUAGCAAGCCAACAAUAUUAAUCUUCGUCGUUGCUAUCGUUUUAUUCAAUAUUUAUAUACAAAAGCCAUUUCACUUUAUUGACGAUAUUAAUUGUUAUUUAUUAUAAUUUAUGUGACAUGGUUUUUCAAGGACAGAUUAGAAUUUUAUUGGCAUCAUCAGGUUUUGCUCCUUGAGGGGAGAAGAAGGCAAUGGGAAUGUUGUGAAGGUCCAAUCAAGCACCUGAUGGCUUUCUGCAAAGUCGGGCUCUGUAGCUGCUGUAAAGCCAACAUAGACUGAGCUUGGAACGGUUUCUGACAUGAUAAUAGGUCUUUCAGUCAACUUCUGAAGUGGGUUUCCGCAUAUGCAGCAGAAACAUAGAAUAUUUUCGUCCAUCCGUCGUAAUAAAUUUGAACCUGGAUCGAUCUUCCGCUUUUGAGAUCAAUGCCAAAGCUGUCGAGACUCGCAGCUGGAUCUGAUGUUACGCUUGCUAAGUGGAUGCCCAUAUGGUUAUCAUCUGGAUCAUACCCGUUCUUGAAAGUGUCAUUUCAUUUGUAAUUUAUUUUAAUCAGAUUCAUAAUGAUAAUAAGAUUAUUAAAAAAAAGAGUACUAAUUGCAUCGAACAAUGAAAUUUAAAACACAACAUAUAGUAAAAAAAUUUCACCCAAAACGUUUUCAUUAUUUUCAUGUUUUAGAUAAAUUAUCAAAUACAUUUUUUUACUGUUUUCAUUUUAUCUAUUGUUUUAGAAACAAACUACUAAAUCCCUUUCACCUUUAAAAACAUCACAUUAAAAAUAUUAUUAUUCUCCUCCAAAACAUCCCAUCAAACAUAAAAACACUCACUAAAAGAUAAUUCCAAACGCAACAUAUAGAUUUUGUAAUUUGCAGUAUUAGAGUAUCCGACCCCGAUCAAUUAAUUAAGGUUGUGUACAGGUGUGUGUGUGUGAGAUCUAAGGCACAUGUGAUAUGGUGGGGCCUUUGGCCUACAAAGACGAGCAAACAAUUAUAAAAUGACAAUGUCCUUACGAAGAUAUGAAUAUAGUUUAGGGGUGUUGCAUAUCAGAUUUUAUGGAUUUGAUAUUAAUUUAUAUAUGCUAUAUGAUUUUGUGGAUUAUAAAUUUUUAAUUUAAUCCAUAUAUCUGCGGAUCGAAUGCGAAGUUAAUCCAAUUCAUAUCUAAUUUAUUAUUUUACGGAUUGAUUUGCGGAUUGAAAAUUUUUAAUUCAAUCAAAUCCACGAACUAAUUAAAUAAAAAAAUUUAAUAUAAAAAUAAUUUUACUACCGAUCAAAUUUAAAAUUAAAUAAUAUUUAAAUAAAUUAAUUAUUUAAAUAAAGAUAGAAAAUAUAUUUAAAGUUUCAAAAUUAUAUUAUUAUCGGAUAAAAUAUAAUAUAGUAUUAAUGUAACUAUAUUUUAACUUAUUUAUUUACUAGUAAGUACAAAUAUCAUAUUUACAAGUUUUAUUUUUUAAUUAAAUAAAUACUUUUUAUUUUUUUAUAGAAUCACAAAUUUUUACAAAUUUAUAAAGGUAGAUCUAUGUCCAAUCUACCGAUUGUAGAUUAUCAAAUUUUCAUUCCAAAUCAAUCUAUUAAUUCACGGAUUGAAUUUUUACUAAUCAAAUUUCUACUGAUCCGACGAAUUGAACGGAUCCAAUUAGAUUUUAAACACUCCUAGAAUAUACGUUAUAAAUCUCGUGACUUUAUGCUGCGUUUACUUUUUGGAUUGGAGUGGGAAUCCUGAGGAGUGGGAAUCCUUGGAUUAGGAGUGUGGAGUGGGAGUGGGAGUAGGGUGUUUACUUAGACUAAAUGAAAGUAUGGAUUGUCAAUCAGAAUCCUAAUUAUUUGUUUACUUUGUCUUGGAUUGGGAGUAAAUUAUUUUAAAUUAUAAUUUUAUCCUUAUGUACAGAAUUAUAAUUUGUAAUUAAAAAAUUAAUAAAAAAUAUAUUUGGAAAAUAAAAUAAAUAUUUUAUUAUAUUUAUAAAUUAAUAAUAAUUACUAAUAUUCUUAAUUAUGUAAAUCAUAAUUUUUUAUUAAUUUUAAUUUAAAUUAUGUGAAUAAAAAUUAUUAAUAAUAGCAACACAAAUGAAAUAUUAUUAUUGAUAAUAUAGUACAAAAUUAAUAUUUUUUUAGAAUAAAAUAUUUAUUAUUAUUAAUUAAAUAAAUAAUUAAUAUUUAUUAAAAUUAAUGUUUAAUAUUAUUAAUUUAAAUAUAAUAUUUAUUUAUUUUUAUUUUAUUAAAUUUAAUAAAAUAAAUAUGAUAUAAUUAUUAUUUUUAAUAAAUAUGAUAUUAUUUAUUUUAUUAAAUAAAUAUUAAUUUAUUUUAUUAAAUUUUAUUUAUUUAUUUAUUUUUAUAAAGAUAAAAUGAGAAGAGGGGGGAGUGGAUUCCCACUCCCAUAGGUCCCCCCAUGGGAGUGGGAAUCCUACUCCCCACUCUAAAAUUGAGUAGGACUCACGAAUUCCCACUCCCACUCCCCCCUUUUUUAAGGUAAAUAAACGCUGGAGUGGGAGGAAUCCACACUCCUCACUCCUACUCCAACAAGUAAACACAGCCUUAAUUCAGUCCAUGCAAUCCUCAUUGUGAAUAAAGGAGUGACUCUUGGAGCUCACACGUGGCAUGUUUCGUCAUCUUGGAAAUUGUUGAUUACCUCAUCUUGGAUGGCGCCAAAGCAAGGGAACAUUGUGAUUCACUUAAAUAUUCACGUGUUUUUUUAGGCUAUUAGCACUACAAGAAUUAAGGCCUUUAGGAACAAGUUUUUUAGCAACAAAAUUUUUGUUGUUGCCUUAAGUGUUAUUACAAUAUAAAAAAUAUUUUAUUAACAAAUACUUAAGAAAUAAAUUAAUAUUUUUAACAACAAAUAUUUCGUAUAUGAAGACAUACAUUGGCAACGUAUUAACUUUUUGUUGCUAAAAAUAUAUAUUAAAAUAUCUUUAUUUGUAAUUGCGCAAGUCAAGCCAUCAAGGGUCGGAUUUGGAAUUCUCAGGUGAGUAAACACUGUAUUGUCUUUCAUGGACGUAUUCCGAUCUUGACCAUUCAGUGGUUCAAUAAGGAAGAAAAAUUCAUCAAGUUAUUUGUGAAAAAUGCGUUUUAAGAGGUUGUUGAGAGGUGUUAAUAGCACCAUAAGAAAAUUAAAAGUAUGGGGCUCAUUAUUUUUGUCAUCAAUGGAGGUGUUAAAAAAUUUUCUACUGCUUUUAAAAUUUUAAGGUAAAAAUAAAAAAAUAAAAUAAAAUAAAAGGAGUUUCAGGAGGUUUUUGUAGGGUGGCCAAUGAUCCUACUCAAAAGGUUUUCGGCCUCCUCUAAAGCACAUCAUCAUUCUUAACUAGGUGCCUGUUAAACAAAAUGAGAAAAAAGGAUUCGUGAUUUUUUCUCAUUGAAUUAUUUUUAAGUUUAUUAUUUAAAAAUUUCAUGCUUUUUUUUUUCAUUUUACUAUGCUUUUUGUUGGAAGACUUGGCCUAUGAUUUUUAAGUAUUCAAUCUAAAAUAUUAAUUUAUUAAGUAAAGUGACAUAUCCUCCUUAUAAAUUUAAGCAUCUCUCAUUUACUAGCUAAGAUAGAACACAACUCAAUAAUUCCCGCCACCCCCUCCCCCCGCGGACGAAAUCACUGCCUUUCUUUCAACAUACUUGUGUUGUUCCACCACCACAUUCUGGAUACUAAAAUCUAGCUCUGAUACCAAUUAUUGAGGGGCUUGAUCUAAGAUUUCUAAGUAUCCAACCCAAAAGAUUAGUCUAUUGGGUGGAGUGACCUAUCUUUCUUAUAAACCCAAGUAUCUAUGUUUUACUAGUGAAGGUUGGACACAAUUCAACAAUUUUUCUAACAUUGAAAACAAAAUUUGAAAAUUAUUAAAUGAACGACUGGUAAAAUACUGUUUGUUGAAGUUUUUGGCAACGGCUGCAGGAGAUUUAAUCAAUCAUGUAUUGUACGAUAACCCUGAAAUAAAAGAAUUUAAAACGGCAUAAAAUUGAUUCGUGGGAGUCAAUCUCAAUUGAUAAAAGGAUGGUAAAUAUCUGGCUAAAGAAUUUGGAAUAAAACAAUCAUUAAAUAGUGCGCGAAACUAGUAAACAGCUUAUAACAAUAUUUACGAUAAAAAGAGCAAAUUUUUGGUGCCAAACAAUUAAGUGUAGUGUAAGAGCAAAAGUAACGAUGCCUGAACAAGUCAUCCGUUAUGAGAGCAGCAACUAGAAAAAAAAAAAAUUCUGUUCGCUGGAGGCAAAGGCUGAUUGUACCGUGAGCGAUUGGAUUAAUGAUUACCUGUUUGUUAUCUCAAAACUCGGUUUCCUUGAUGAUCAUCAUGGAAAACUAACGUUUGUAAAUGAGUUUGGAAAGUUGGCUUGUUAAUGUAUGAAGGGUAAAAUAAAUAGCCAAAGUAAUGGGUGAGAUUGACGGAAGACCGUCAAAUUUUUCUCAAGCAUUUUUCAAAACCUAGACCCAUGGGUUUUCGAUUUCCCAAAAAAUAUUUAAAAAAAAAGGGAAAAAACCGAACUUCUUUCUCUGCUCCUGAUUUUGCAACCGAUGCAAUCUUGACCACUCGUACCUAUACUGAUACUUUCUCUAUAAUUCUAAUUCCAACUACUUCCUGUAAGUAGCAAUAACUUCAGACUUUUUUAGCAGUCUUUCUUCACUUAAAUAUAAAAAUUAUUCCUGAAAGACUGAUAAUUAAUCUUUGACUUUAUGUGUUUGACCAUUGAUAACUUCUCGGCUUUUGACCUUUUCAGCUCAUCAUGAAUUAGUCAUCGUCUUCGUUAACCGAAUUGGCUCAAAUGGUAGCACAUUUCUACUGUGUAUAUCGUGUUUAAAACUGCAGUCUUCAGAUUAUGCAAGUUGAAAUCCAAGGGCCAUUUCAAAUGGGGACAAAAAAGGGGUACCUUACCAUAGGGGUAAAGGCGGCUGAACCCAUAUGUAUUAUGGUAAUUAAUAAAUAUUUUUUUAUUACUAAUUUCAUUUGUAAUUUAUUUUAAUCAGCUUCAUAAUGAUAAUAAGAUUAUUAAAAAAAAUGAGUACUGAUUGCAUCGAACAAUGAAAUUUAAAACACAACAUAUUGUUAAAAAAUUUCACCCAAAACCUUUUUCAUUAUUUUCAUAUUUUAGAUAAAUGACUAAAUAUAUAUAUUUUUAAUGUUUUCAUUUAUACUGUUUUAAAAACAAACUACUAAAUGCUUUUUAUUUUUUAAAACAUCACAUCAAACAUAAAAAACACUCGUUAAAAAAAAAGACCAAACACACCCUUAAGAUUUUGUAAUUUGCUGUAUUUGAGUAUCCGACACCAAUCAAUUAAUUAGGUUGUGUACGUGUGCGUGGUGUGUGAAAUCUAGGCAGAUGAUAUAUGAUGGGGCCUUUGUGUUGGGUUAUGUGCUCUUUAAACCAUAUUGAUUUAUUUAUUUUCUGAUUAAUAAAAUAUUUGAGAUAUUUUUAAAAAAAUCUUAAUUGCAUAAAUAUUUUGAAUAAGGUCUAUUUAAUCAUAUUAUAUAUAUUUAUGUGAUCAUCAUAUGGAUUUAUAUAAGACAUAAAUACAAGUUAUCUUAUGGUUAAAUAAAUUAAGUUCGCAGUUGAUAAAUAGAGUUUGAUGCUCUAUUUAUAUUUAGACUGUAGUAAAUUCAUUAAAUGAUUUGUUUUAAUCAUGUACGAAUUUAUUGAUAUAGUUUGACUGCAUUGAACUUGAUCACAUAUGAGAUUUAAUUAAUCUUGAAAUGAUUGUCAAACUUAUUAAAUUUCAUAGGCAUUGAUUUUAUUGCAAUCUUAAUCUUGAGUUAAUUAUAGUUUCACGUUUGUGAUUGUCAUUUCAUUUAGGUUAUCAAUGAGCGCGACAUACAUUUGUAGUCAAGAUUACCCAGUAUCUUGGUAGAAGCAAUUAUGAGCAGUGAGAUUAUAGAUUAACAAUAUAAAAUUUGUACAACACAUCUCUUAACAGGUUUUCGGUACUUGAUCAUAGAAUUCUUUGGUCAGAAUGUGUCAACAUAAUUAGUAUGUUGAAAAUAAUCAUUAGAGAAAACCAGUAAGUGUCAAAGAACAAGAUGUAAUUAAAUUGAUUGGACAAUUGAGAUAUCAAUUUAAUUAGCGAUGUGGUACAAAGGAUUGUUCAGUAAGGAAAUCAAUAUGGCAUGGGUCGAAUUAUUAUUCGAGAAAACUAUCCUAAAUAGCAUACAAUUAUCGAUGUUAGUUCCAAUCUUUUAGUGGAAUAGAUUUAGAAUUAAAUAAUUGAGUUAGUUUAAUUACAUGCCUAAUUAUUGUAGUCACUAUUGUAUGUACCCAUAUGAUCCCCAAGUUAGCUCAUUUAAUUGCUUGCAUUACUACUGGAUUAAUAAGUAAGAUAACUAGCUAUUUGGGUUAAAAGCCUAAAUAUAUUAUUUAGUGGGAGGCUUUAUUUAAUAUGCUUGUGUAUAAGGGGCAUUCUGUUAUUUUACAAGGUGGGCUCCUAUAACAAGAACAAUGAAUGGCACUUUUGGUUUUAUUAUUUUUUAAUUUAAAUAAAUUUUGAUUUAAUAAAAUUAUAUAUAUAUAUAUAUAUAUAUAUAUAUAUAUAUAUAUAUAUAUAUAUAGCCUAAGGUUUCCACCAAAUAGAGAUAUAAAAGGGCUUGUUUUCUUUAAAAGGAUAUAGAAGCCACAAUAUACAAAUCAGAGAAAAAAAAAAGAUUUUUUCUCUCUAACUUUGAGAGAAAAAAUUUUCUCUUACUAGUACACGCCAAGUGCAAAUUAAACUUGAGUCAUAACCUGGAAGAUCAUAGGUGACAGAUCGUGGUCUAACAAGAUUGGUGAUGACGGAUCGUGAUCUGGGAGCCUAGAUUAUUUCAGCAAAAAAACAAAGAUACGAUUUUUAGAUUAUGAUAAUUUUAUAUAUUGUAUAAGAAUUGCAAUCCAAAUAUUUCCGUUGCAAAAUAUUUUUUCAAUCCGAUAGUUUGGCCUACAAAGACGAGCAAAUCAUUGUAAAUUGCCAAUGUCCUUAUGAAGACAUUUUAAAUCUUAAGUUUUUUCUUUAAAAUACCUUAAAUAAAUAUUUACCAAGGAAACUCAAUAUGUGAAGAUUUUAACUUUAAUGAGGUAUGUGUGAUCCUUUUAUUUUUAUAGUUUACAACACAAAUAAUCUUCCUUGUUCUUCCCUUUCCCGAUGGUUAGGUAAUUGAAAUGAUUACCCUCUGAAUUUUAUGGAGUUGAAUAUAACGGGAUGUCCAAGUAUUGAAAUUCAGUUUGAAGUAUAAUGUUAUGGCUAGCAUGUGUCUCGUUUGUAGGGUCCUGAAUUCAAGUAUUGAAUUUCAAUUUUGAAGUAUAUGUUAUGGCUAGAAUGUGUCUUGUUUGUGAGGUUCUGAAACUACACAAAAUAGAUUCUUAAUUUCUAAACAAGGAAUGUGCUCGUAUGUGUAUGUGGCGUCUGUGUUCUUUUGAUGAACAUGCAGCAAUCAUUACUUUAAAAUAUUUUAAAAUUUAUUAUAAUGAACAGGCGUAGUAUUUGCAAUUUGUCUUACAAUUUGCUUUAAAAUAUCUUAUGUAGCGUCUGUAUUUCUUUUAUAAUUUACUUUAAAAUAUUUUACAAUUUACAAUGAAAUAUUUUGUUGAUGAACAGGUGUCUGCCUUCUCAACCCAGCGGACAUGUUGCGACAUUAUCUUCAUCUAAAUCCAUAGGAAAAAUAAUAAUAAUCCAGAGAUAAGUUACCAAUUGCAUGUCCCUUAUGUCCAAAUCCAGCAAUCAACACCUCAUCAUUUUCUUCAAUAUAGUUCAAGCAACCAUCAUUUGGAACAAAAGCAACAAUCUUCUUUAUUUUUGAUAGGUUGAACCAAUAAAUGACUUCUCAAUACCUAUCUUCUCAAGAACAAUGCCUUUAUCAUGGGAACAAAAGAGUUUGGCUGCUUAGCUUCAAUACUUGUCUUCUCAAGAACAUUGCCUUUAGUAUAGGAAGAACCAACUAAUGACUUCUUCCACUCGCUGCCGAGGUGAUAUUUUUGUUUGACUUAUCAGCCCACCUUUGAGUCCUAUAGUGAGACUUCAGCUUGCAACCAGCUCUCAUACCACGUGUCUUCCCCAUGAUUGUAGAUUGUAGUUAAUCAACUGCUAAGAUUAAAAAUUUCAUCUUUACUUCUCUUCUUAAUUCUGAACUCCAAACUUAUGAAGCAAAGCAAGCAGCAUCUUUGAUUUGGCCAAAUGAUAUAUUGUUUAAGUGAUUUAUUUGUUUGAGUGAAUAUAGCAUUUUCAUGAGUGUGUAGAGUAGAUAAGAUAAUUAAUUUAAAAAGGAUUAAGUGAGGACUUUUUUGGCAUUUUAAAGAGUGUACAAAGUAUAAUUUAUUUUAAAAAAAAUUAAUAUAUGAGUGCACAUAAUAAUAGUGUUUAGAGUAAAUUUUAGAGUGCGUAUAACCCUACCCUAAGGCAAAAUACAAGGUCGGGAGGCUGAACCAUAUCUUACUCUUCUUACUUAAUAUAUGAAUUAAAUUUGAAAGCUAUGGCUCAUUUGGAAAUUAAAUGUAGAAGAAUUAGUGGGUAGAGUAGAUAUAUCCUUCUAAGUUAGUGAGGAUAGAAAUUUAGGUUGUGCUUUAAUGGAGCUAAUCUAAGUAAGUCUCGGUAUAUCUCUGAUUAUAAAUAUAUUAUUAGAAUUCUAAUUAUAAUAUAUCAGUAUUAAAAAAAAUUUGCCAUGAAUUAUUGUGCUUAAAAAUCUUGUUUAUUUUACAGUUUUGACCAUGAUGCUUUUCAAUUGGAAUCUACAUGUAAUUCUAACGUGCUUGUAUUAUUGAAAUGUAUAAUUAGCCAACAAUCUUACUAAUCCUUUUUCUUUACAUUUGAAAUAGGGAUUAGAAUCCUAUUCUGAUCUGAGCUGUACUAAAUUUUUAAAAAAUUUGUACCACCUAUCUCUAGUAUUAAUAUAUAAUUAAUAUUGAACUACUUUUAUUUUGUGCCACCUAUCCUGAUCCUUGUAACAUAUCAGUCUCUUCAGUCAUUUAAUAUACUCUUAGGCAAUGGUAAAAUGGCCAAUAGGAAUGCAAAAUUCUCAUUCGGGUCAAUAUUUUCUCCAUGGGGAAAGAGCACCCUCCCAUCGGUUUGGUCUGUUUGGAAAAGAGAAGGGAAUUAGGUCUUUAUCCCGAUUUUAAUUCAGGUAAGGGAACUAGACUACAGUUAAAUGCCUGUGCCAACUGGAUUACAUGAUUUUACUAAAUAAUAAUUAUUAUUUAUUUUUAAUUGAAAACAUAAAAAAACUAAGGACCUAGUGCUUCACUUAUAUACAUUUUAAUAACAUUUUUUAAGAGAUUAAUCACAUCAUAGUACGUGUGUUCUUAUUGAUUUUUUCUUUUAAAACUAACGUUCAAGGUAUUUGGGUUCAACAAUUGAGUCAAGAGUGGAAGAGAUAUCCAACUUUGGGUUAAGGAAACAAAAUGUCGAUCCCGAAACUUGACUUAUUGCGAACCCUAGUGGCUAGAUGAGAGAGAACUUUUGGUUAACUAUACUUAUGUUUUUAUUUCAAAAAAUGAUAUGCAAUCUUUGCAUUGCUUUUUAUCAAUUACUCUUCGUUUAAGAUUUUUUUUCCUUUUUUAUUAGUUGGUAAAAUCUCUAAUAUAAAAAUCAGAGGUUUGGGAUUCAAAUCCUGCUAGUUGGUAAAAUCUCUAAUAUAAAAAUCAGAGGUUUGAUAUUCAAAUCCUGCUUGUUUUGCCAUUAAACUAUAACUAAAGAAGAAAAUCACUAAGUGAUUCUUUUUUUUUUUCCAAUCCUUAUUGUUGGCGUUCAAAAUUAUAAUGUCUAAAUAUCCAAUUUAUUUUUUCUCAGGAAAAUUAUCAUUUUACUACUAAAGUUAUUUUGACAUAUCAUGUCAAUACCAUGGUUUGCUGAAAAGUGUAUUUUACUACCAAAUGUUUGCGCCGUUAUCAAUUCACUACUAUUCCGCUAAGAAAACGUUAAUGUUUAACGGAAAUUGAGUUAAAAGUCGAUUUUACCCUCAAGAAUUUGGUAGUAAAAUGAUAAUUCCCCUAAAAUCUUGGUAGUAAAAUGAUAAUUUAUCUAUCAAAUUAACAGAUAAUUUUACUUUUACAGAUGGAAAUGUCUUUGAUGCCCUUAUGACAUUAGCAAGAUAUCAGCAGAUUUUUAACAUUCUUAACGGAAUGGUAGUGAAUUGAUAACGACGCAAACGUUUGGUAGUAAAAUGUACUUUUGGGCAAACCAUGGUACCGACAUGAUAUGUCAGAAUUAUUUUAAUAGUAAAAUGAUAACAUCCUUUUUUCUUAUGACCUGAUUGAUUAAGUUAUGUUUAUGUUCCCAAAAAUUAAAAAAAAAAGGUUGUGUGAAAUUCACACUGAAUGUUUAAUAAAUAAAACUACGAUCGAUGUAGAGUUGGAUAAAGAUAAUCUUGAUUAAUCCACUUCAUAAUAUAAGGAAACCCACUUGUAAAAGGUUUGAGUUGAGCUAUUAGCAUCCUCUUAUUAUCCCUUUGAAGCGCACUUUCGUAUUUACAAUUUUAUCCUCUAGUAAAAUUACAAUAAAAGACGAGUAUAAAUCAGUUAAAUCCAAAUGUAUAAUUUAAAAGAACUCUGCACACACGCGCUGUCAAGAAUUCCCUCACAAAUAAUUUCUUUCCAUUCCAGGAUAGUAAUUUUUCAUUUCUGAAAAUUUUCUUGCAAUCCUUUAACAAUUUCUGCACCAAUGAACACCAAGAAACAACUAAAUUCCAGAAUUAUUACUUUUCUUUUUACCAGUCAAUUUUUUCUUUUUUUAUGCAAAUAAUUUUUGUAUUAUAUCUUGCUGUUGUGUUGUUUCUUUUACAGUUGAUUUCUUCACGAAUAUAAAUCCAACAAGGAGAUGUUUGCCUCGAUUAGAGAACGAUGAAUAAGGGAAGUGAAGAUAUUGGCAUGUGCUGUGCAUGGAAUGCGGAAUCAAGCGCACCAAAUAAUCACAGAAAAAUAAAAGACACAAAAUUUAACGUGGUUCGGCAAUAUGCCUAUGUCCACAAGAGCAAGAGAAAAUAGUUGUAUAACUAACAAUUAUUGGAGUACAAAAUUUGAGUAAAGAAAUCUCACUUCCCAAAACCCAAAUACACCAAGUACUCUCGUACACUUGAAAGGAAAAAUCUCUCAAUUACAAACUCUUCAAUUGCUCACUCUCUUAACAAUUCUACAAUUGAAUUGUUUCUCUCUCAAUUUUGGGAUGAUUUCAAAUGAAGAAUUGCCCCUCUAUUUAUAGGAAAUCAAUGGCACUAUUGCACAUACUCCUUUAUAAUUUGUCAAGUUGUUAGGUGAUUCUUUGGCCAAUUUGUCAAGUUUAUUAACAAAUUUCAAUCUUUGGCAAAAAAAUCUUCAUUUGACUUCAACAACAUGGAGGCUGAGCAACAGGAUGAAGAACUUCUCAUUUGUGCAGUAAGAGAAAGAGAUGAAUUAGGAAGACUUUUGUUUUGCAUUUUAACGGUUCAAUGAGAACAAAAUUCACAAAAUUACUUGUGAAAAAUGUGUUUUAAUAGGUUGUUGAGAGGUGUUAAUAGAACCGUAAGAAAAUUGAAAGAAAGGGGUGCAUGAAGACUAAGUUCUAUUAAGGUUUGUUUUUGUCAUCAAUGGAGGCGUUAAAUGUAUUUUUUGAUAGGUAAGGCUAUUUUAAUCCACUAAUACCUUUUAAACCCAUUUUCUCUUCAAACUAAUCACUGAAAUUUGAAAAUUAACAUUUUAAAAUAUACCCUUAACAACCAAAUUCUAUCCUAACGUAAUUACUAAAUAAACCCAUUAAAUAUCAUUAACCUAAAGAUAUCAACUAGUUGGAUUUUUCAAUUUAGCUUAAUAAAACAUGAAAAUAAGGUUUCAUCUAAAUCCAUCAAACAAAAUUUAAGUUUUUUUUUUUUUUGAGCUUUUCGGCCAAAAAAUAUGUGCAAUUUAUUAUUAAUUAAUGAAAUCAAGCAUUUGAGAUUGAAUUAAUUUAAACAAAUCAACGUACAAGAAAAACUAUUUUUUUGUGAUUGUUGAAUACAAGCAAAACAAGUGAAAUGCCGCUGCAAAUGCGUUUUUUCAAUGGCUGAAGGUAGUCGCUGGCCGUCAAUAAUAGCUUGGGUAGAAAUACUUUUUUUUCCGACCAGCCGCUGUAAAUAUGCUUUUUUCGAGUGAAAUUAGCCAUGAAAAAAAUGAUAAAUGCUUAUAAGAUAUAAUAUGGACAGACAACUAAUGAAAAACUUUUAUGAUCACUUUAAGCCAUCGAAAAUACUAUUUUCAAUUGACUCUCGUGGUAGCUUUUGUAAUAGCAAUUUCGAUUAAAUAUGAGCAUUGGAAAUAAAUUAAUUUUGAGGGGCAAAAACAGCAAAAAAAACUAGACUGUGGUUGGAAAUACAUAUUGUUCUAAUUGAUUUUCCAAUCAAACAUACUAUAUAUUAGUCGAAAUAAGUAAUAUAUGCAAUUGAAGUGUUCCUUAGCCAGAAAAGUAAUAUUUUCGACGGCAUAUCUUUGUUCGAAAUUAAUUUCUUUUAACAGGGAUAUACAAUUGAAAAUAAUUUAUAUAGUUGAAAUUUAUUUUAUUAAGGGAAAAGAACAAACACACCCCCAACGUUUAGACAAAGGGACAAAAACCCCUCUAACGUUCCAAAAAAGACAUUUACACCCCCAUUCACUAAUGGAAACAAUAACUUUUAACAUAAAUUACCGUUAUACCCUUCUAGCAUAUAAAAAAAAUUGUUGAUAAUCCAAUUUGUCCAUAUAUUAUUAAUAAAAUUAUAACUAUACCCUCAUUACCCAAUUCCUCUAUUUAAAUUUUUAUCAAAUUCCCUCUUCAAGCCAAAUAAAUUUAAUUCAUUACUCAAGAAUAAAAAUAAAAUAAAAUAAAAUUGGUUAUUAAUGUUAACUUGUAUUUCAAUUAAUACCAUAAUAAAUAACAUAAAAAAUUAGUUAUAAAUAUACAAGUUUAAAUGAUAACAUGUAGAGAAUUGUUAAAUAUACAAGUUUAAAAUUUAAAUAAAAUUUUAUGGUAUAAGGGUAUAAUGGUAAUUUCUGUUAAAAGUUACUGUUUCAGUUAGUGAAUUGGGGUGUAAAUGUCUUUUUUGAAACGUUAGGGGAGUUUUUGUAUCUUUGUCUAAACAUUAGGGGUGUGUUUAUCCUUUUCCCUUUUAGUAAUUGCCACUGACAAUUGGAAUAACAAUUGUUUCAACUGUCUAAUACAAUUGUAAAGAACAUAUUACUAUUGAGAAUAGAUUUUAUUCAGCGAACACUGUUAUUAAAAUGAAUGAAUUUUCUUAAACAAUUCAAUCGAAAUUGUCAGCAUUCAUAUUGUCCAAAAACAUUUCAUAAUAAAAAAUAAAGCAUUAUUAUAUUAUUUUCAAAUGCCAUAAAUCAUAUGAAUAUCAAAUAUCGUCAAAACCAUCUCAAUCAACAUGAACAUCGUCUUCUGAAUCACCAUAACCAUCACCAUGUAAAUUUGCAUCACCAUCCUCCUCUAAAUCAGCAUCACCAUUGUCAUCCGAAUCAUUACCACCACUAUCAUCAGAUUGUGCACCACCAUUGUCAUUUGCAUUCAAUUUUCCAGUUGGAUCCUAUAUAGAAAAAUUAAAUGAAUGUUUAAAAUAAUUAAGUGAAAAUGAAUAAUGUAAAUUUUAAAAAAAAUAGAGAUUGAAAUGAACAUUAUACCAUUGAAGAGGAAACCACAACAACUUGAGCAUGAGAUUGCUUUGUUUCUAACUCUUCCACUUUUUUUUUUUUCUGUACAAUAGUAAGUUGCUCUUGCACUACUUUCAAAGUACUCAACAAAAACUCCUCACGUUGUAUGCAUUUCUCUUUGUUGCAUGGGUGGCUUGAAGUGGAUCCAUAUACAUCUUUAGUUUUUAGGCCUCCAAGAGCAUGACCAUGCUUAACACCUCCUGUCACAUUAAGAUAUACAUCUCAUUCUUUUCUCACUGGGACCUCAUCAGACGACUCAUUUAAUUCAUUCCUCUUUGAUAUCAUUUGUGCCUUAUCAAAAUAUGAACACUCAUAUUGUUCGAAUUAACUGUAUUGAACUAAAAGUAACUAGAUCAACUAUUAUACAUGCUUAGAAAGAUAAUUUUAUCUAGUUUCUAAAGAAAUUUACAGAAUGAAAUUUGGACUUCUAUUUAUAAAGAUAUUCAAGAUACAUUGAACAAAGUUCAUAACUGACGGGAAUGCACAAGGCCGAAAGUUUUCAAGAUUAUCACUCCUAUUGUUCGAAUUAACUGUAUUGAACUAAACGCAACUAGAUUAACUAUUAUAUAUGAUUGAAAAGAUAAUUUUAUUUAUUUUCUAAAGAAUUUUACAGAAUGAAAUUCAGACUUUUCUUCUUAAAUAUAUUCAAAAUAAAUUGAACAAAGGUCAUAAUUAACGAGAAUCAGCACAAGACCAAAAGUUUUCAAGAUUAUCAGCCCUAUUGUUCGAAUUAACUGUAUUGAACUAAAAGUAACUAGAUCAAUUAUUUUAUAUGGUUAGAAAGAUAAUUUUGUCUAGUUUCUAAAGAAUUUUACAGAAUGAAAUUUGGACUUCUCUUUUUAAAGAUAUUCAAGAUACAUUCAACAAAGGUCAUUAUUGAGAGGAAUAAGCACAAAGCCAAAAGUUUUUCAAGAUUAUCACUCAUGUUAUUUGGAUUAACUAUAUUAAUCUAAAAUUAAUUAGAUUACUUAUUAUAUAUGCCUGGAAAUAUAAAUGCAUCUAGUUUCUAAAUAAUUUUACAAAAUUGAAUUUAGAUUUCUCUUUUUAAAAAUAUUUAAGAUAGAGUCAACCAAGGUCAUAUCUUUCAGCAUCUGCACAGGGCCAAAAAUUUUUAAUUAACUGGAUCGAUUCAUCAAGAUUUAAUGACAAGGCUGCCUGUCCCUAGAAACGUCUUUGAGUUAAGAGUUUAAUUAAUUUUAUGAUGUUCUAUACAUCAAGUUAUGGCUAAAUGAAUGCUGAAUAUUCAGAUUCAAAAAAUAACGAUAAGAUACUACUCAUUAGGUCACAUAUUUGAAUGGCUUAUAUUAAUUUCUUUUCUCUUCUAACUCAAAGUACAAGCAAAAUCAGUGACAAAAUUAGGCAAAAAAUUAAAGAAAAGCAAGCACAUUUGAAUGAUACAAAAAAUUCAGUGAAAUAUAUUCUUUAAUCAACUAAAAUUUAACAUACAAGCAAAUUAUGAAGUGAAUAGUUUUUACCUUAAGAUGCUGAUGAUCCGACAAUUGCUCUGGUGGAAGAAAAAAAUUUGACGCUGCUUCUGGGAUGAUGAUCUCACAGUUUUGCUCCACUGGAAGAAAAAAAAAUUCGAAACAAAAAUUAAAAUACGUCCAUAGAUGAUGCCAUGUAUAUGCAUGCCUGAGCGUGUUAGACUUUAAUCAAUACUGCAGCCAUUCCCAUCUUUCCUUUCACAUGUAUUUGCAUCAAAAUCAUGAUCAUAAACAAACUGUAUUUUCAUUGAAACGACUAACACAAAGUUACAAACAAAAGUCUAGUUCCGAACAACAAUUUCACAUAAUAGAGAAGUUUAUCAAGAGGCAAAGCCAACAAUAAUUAUAUAUAAAAGAAACCCUAGACAUAUGAAAACGUUAAGAAAGGAAAAAAAAAAUCUUACGGGUAUAGGAAAAAAUAAGUUAACUUACCUGAGAGGAUAAAUUCCUGUAAUAAUUGAUCUUAGGGUUUCUCAAGAUGAUGUAAUGAAGGUGUUUAUGGACGCUAAGAUGAAGUAAUGAAGGUGUUAAUGGACUGAGUUUUCCAUGAUGGAGUAAAACUGAAUGAAGGGCGUGCACUUUGUUCUUUUUGAUAAAACAAUUUAUGAAUUUUUACAAUAUAAAAGAAGGCUUUAUCACUUAUUUUUUUCUUUAUGGUGUUACGCACGUUUUUGGCUUUAGUUAUAAUCUUCUUUUUUUAAUUUGAUUUUUUUAUUAGUUAAGAUAAGGCAUUUUCUUUAAAUGAUCAAGCUUUCGAUUUUAAGUCAAAUCAGAAGUCCAAUUAAAUUUUACUUAGUCUAGCUAACCUAUGUUUUUAAUCAAAUUGAACUUAUAUAUUCUCAGUUUAAAGGGAAAAAGAGGUCCACUAAAUUCAACUCAUUCGUUUCUAGUUUUAUCUAGCUUUUAAUUUAAAUUUCUAAAAUCAAACAAAGGUUGAUUUAGUCUAAUCAACAUAUAUAGUUAAUCUUAUCUAGAUUUUAAGAUUAAACUAAUUUAUAUUUUUUUUAAAUAAGGUAAUUUAGAUUUAUUGUAAUUUAUUCUUCAGCUUAUUUAUUUAUUUAAUUAGUCAUAUGAAUAAUUGAGUGUGUAUCACAAUAUAUAUUUGAUAUAACAUAGUCUCAUAACUAUAUUAUAUGCUCUUUCUUAAUUAGGUAUGAUAAUAUCUUCAAACUUUAAAUGGUAAACUUUAUAAAGUUACAAGUAGACAAUUAAUGUAACUCCUUAAUUAUUAGUAGAAGUUGCUAAUCAUGUAACUACAAGAUAUAACAUAGCCAAUAAUAGUAUAUAAAUCAUGUGACACCCUUCAUUGUGUGUUCCCUCUAUGAAGCAAAGUUCACACAUCAACAUACAUGUUUGAAGAUUAUAUGUUUAAUAUCUACUAUGAAAUUUUGAAUAUGAAUAUUGACGACAUAAACAAAAUUACAAAGUUCAUGUUAACAUAUUUUAUUAAUCAAAGAUCAUUUGCAUUGAGACUAUAUACUAAAAUCUAAUUUUUCUCUGUGUGUAUAGAUGUAACUCAAUCUAUAAUAUUGUACAUUAAUAGAUAUCCAACAGCCAAAGAUUAUGGUUCGAACAUUUCUUAUACUCUCAUUCUUAACAUUAAUCUCAAAAUUUUACUCCAAUGUUUAUUUUAUAUUUAAAAGUAAAUUGGACAAAUUAAUCAUUGUAUAAAAGCUAACAGAGUGAUAAAAACAAUAUAAAAAAUAGUCAUAUUAAUGUACCUCAGAUAUGUCUUAGUGGGUGCUUAAGUAUACUAUGAUCAUGAAAAUUAUAUUUGUAAUUAAGUUAAUAACUUCAAAAUAUAUGGUCAAUUUAUAGGAAAAAUAACAAAGAUCUAUUUAAUGUAGUUGGCUCCUUAUACUCAUGCUAUCAUUCAGUAAAUAUAAAAAUAUAUAUUUUAAAUUUAUAUUUACUAUUACAUUUUCUAUUAAUAGUCUAAUUGGUUAGUUUUUGGCAAUGAAAAUAAUUGGUCAAGAGUUCAAGUCUAACAAAAUACAUCUGAACACUUUUUUCGUAUUUAAUACUAAUAAAUAAUAGUACGGCGCUAUCUUCCCCCUUAAACUAAUCUUAUUAAUUUCUUACUAUUUCGAUCAAUUAUAUGGCCUAGUUAUAAAUAUUAUUGUAUUUUUUUAUAAUGACUAAAAGUCCUCGAAAAUAGUGAUUCAUUUCUACCACAAGUUUGGUAAGUUGAAAAUAUAAUAGGUGAAAUUGUACUACGUAAUUAAUUAUAAUGCUCACUUGUGACUACCUUGAUAUUUGGUAAGAAAAAGAAUAUGAUAUUUUCGAUUGCCGAAUUCUUGCCAUUGUAAAUAACAGGAAUAUGAAUGCUUAUUGCUAAACAUUUCAAAAUUUCACUACUUAUUUUCAACUGGUUUCAUAUUUGCUCGAAAUUAAGCUUCUAUUAUCAAUUGUGAAACAAUGUGGUCACAAAUAAUCAUGUAUUUCUAACAAAUUUAAUAAAGCUAUUGAAAAUAUUGCUUCAUUUUUUACAGGAAUUUCCUAUCAUUGAAAAUGGUAUUGGCGACAUUGAUUUCCCACAAAAAAUAAGUAUUAGCGAUUAAUUAUUAAGUUAUUUUUAAUUGUUUUCCCCAUUGAAAAUACAGAACAUCACUUUAUUCUUUUAGCAAUGAAUUAAUUUUUACCAUCGAAAAUAAUCAUAUUUUCAAUUAACUGUUUCCUACAAUUAGUAAUGUUGGUUAAAAAAACCAUUUUUCUUGUAAAAAUUGUGAAAAACAACUUUCUCUCUCUAUGUUUCUCUCUCUAGUCCUCAUUUUCAGAGUUAUUUCUAACCAAAUAGCAAAAUUAAAAUGAGAAUUGGAGUCAUCAUUUAAAAAUAUAACUUAGAUUAAUUACACGGGAUCAAAAUCAAUUGUUAUCUGAUUAAGGCUUGAAGCCACUGUUUUGCAAUGUACACAACUUGAAUUCCCUUACUCUUAAAAGUUGACUUUCGCCCAACGAGAAAGUCAAAGAUAAGAGGUUACAAUAACUGAGAAAUCUCAAUUAAAGAAUUGGAUUUAUUUUAUCUAAUUGUAUAGUUUAAUUGUUUGUAGAGGCAUGUAAAAAGGAUUUAGAGAAGUCCGUAGAAUUCUAGAGUUUAAAGGAUAAAGAUGGAUGAUAAAGUAAAAAAGAGCUUAGAGAUGGGUGUCUAGAGUGAAUUAUUUCAUUUAAUUGCAUAAUUUUGUCCUUAAUAGUAAAUUCAUUAAUGGAUACUUGGGUAAUAAAAUGUUUUGAAGAGUAUUUUGGUAGGUUUGAAUAUCCCCACCCAUUUUUUAUUGUUCUAAAUUUUUUAAUGGGGUAGUGAUGAAAAAAAUAUAAAAGGAUUCUUGAAGCCAUACCUUUUUUAAGCAGCAGAAGAAUUAAGUGUUGGAUCAAGUUAAUGGUCGGAAAGAAAUCACGAGCGGAAAUCCUUCUCUAAUCACAGUAUAAAUGCCCUCUUUUUAUGGAUCGUUCUAUGUUCUUAAUUUGAUCUUCACGAAGAAGAGAAGAAAAUGAAGUAAUUUUUUUAGUAUCUCUGUCUGCAUUCUUAUCUUUUGUGAGAGUUAAACCAAAGUGGAGGAAGUUGAUUUAAACUCAACUUCCCUCUUAAUCUCCAUAAACCUUAUAUGGUAACUGUGCGGGGUCGGGUCGAGUCAGCCCAUCAUGGGUGAUCCACCCGUCCAACAGGUAGAAAAAAAGAAUUUUUGUGGGUGCAAGUUCAGCCUCACGGCCCGCACGGAAGCCCGCCAACAAAAACGGAAGAAAAACAAAAGCCCACUUGAUGGCUCAUUUUUGUCUUUUCUAUAUAUGCAAUAUAUGUGUUUGGUAUUGUUUUUCAGCCGUCGUUCUAUUUUUUUCCAAAAACAAAAGACAAGAAAACAUGUUUGAUGGGGCUGUUUCGUAAUGGUAAAUUGAAAAUCCCUAAUAUAUAUAUAUAUAAAGAAAAUAAGAAUAGAAGGGGAAAAGUUAGGAGGGAAAAAAAAGGUUAUUUGCAUCAGUAUGUUAUUGUUUCCAUCUGGGCCCAAUAUAAAUCAUUUACUUUGAUCAAUUUUGAUUUUGUGUUGGAGUAAAGAGAGUGUUGGAUUGAAGUGAAACGAUAUAAAAACAGGCAUAAAAUUUUCACGUAGAGUCAAUCUCAAUUGAUAAAAUCGGUUAAUAACUAGUUAAAGAAUUUGGAAUAACACAAUCACUAAAUAGUGUAUGUAUGCAGCCAGUAAACAACUUGUAACAAUAUUUACAAUAAAUAGAGCAAAUUUUUGGUUUAUGCAAUUAACAGUGCGAAACAAUUAAGUGUAGUGUGAGAGCAAAUGUAAAGGUGCCUGAACAAGUCAUUCGUAUUAGGAGCAGCAAUAAAUAAAAGAAAUAAAAGAAAUAACUCUGCUCGCUGGAAGCAGGCUGAAAAUAACCCAACUAAACCACUAUAAUUUAGAAGGGGAAGUAAGGCUGCUUGUAUCGUGAGCGAUUGGAUUGUUGAUUAAUUAUUUUUUGAAGUCUCAAAACUUGGUUUCCGUGACGAUCAUCAUGGAAAACUAACGUUUACAUAUUAGUUUGGCAAGUUGUUGUUGUGCGUGAAAUGCGGAAUCAAGCGUAUUAAAUAAUUACAGAAAAAUAAAGGACACAAUUAUUUAACGUGGUUCGGUAAUUAAACUUAUAUCCACGAAGGCAAGAAAGAAUAAUUGUUUAUUUAAUAAUUAAUAAAGUACAAAUAUUUAAGUAACGAAUCUCACUUUUCAAAAAUCUAAAUAUACCCAGUACUCUCACACUCUGCAGGAAAGAUAAAUUCUCCAGACACAUUUCUCUCAUUUCUCUCAAAAGCUUAGAAACUUAUAAGCUUUACAAUUUUGGGAUGAAUUGAAAUGAAGAAAUGCUCUCUAUUUAUAGGCUUGAAUUUAAUACUAUUUCACUUAACCCAAGCACUAUUCCACUUAACUCAUGCAAAUAUGUCAAUGGUGUCCAUUUAACAAAUUUAACAAAUUUACCAACUUUUUAUUUUUUUCUUUAAUUAUUUGGUAACUCUUUGAAAUUUUACAUGCCUUCUUGAAUUUGGAUGCCUCAUGCAUGACUUUUCAACAGUUGGCUUGUUAAUGUAUGAAGGCGAAAAAAAGUAGCCAAAUUAAUGGGUGACGUUGACGGGAAGACCAUCAAAUUUUCACAAGAAUUUUUUUAAAUCUAGACCCGCGGGUUUUCAAUUCCCAAAUAAAUAAAUAAAAAUCCGAAGCUCUUUCUCUGUGCUAGAUUUUGCAACCAAUGCAGUCUUGACCUCUCGUAAUUAUACCGAUACUUUUUGUGUAUUUCUAAUUCCAACUACUUCCAGUAAGCAGCAAUAUCUUGAGACUUUUUUAGGAGUCCCUCAAUCAAGUAUAAAAAUUAUUCAUGAAAGAUUGAUAAUUGGUCUUUGACUUUGUGUCUUUAACCACGGAUAAUUUUUUGGCUUUUGACCUUUCCACCCUAUCUUCAAUUUAUCAUCAUCUUCAUCAACAGAACUAACUCAAAUGGUAGCACAUUUCUACUAUGUGUAUCACGUUUAAACUAUAUCCUUUGGAUUAUAUAAGUUCCAAUCCAAUGACAAUUUCAAAUGGGGACAGAAAAUGGGGUACCUUUACCACCGGGGUUAAGGCAGCUGGACCCAUAUGUAUUAUGGUAAUUAAUAAAUGUUUUUUUAUCACUAAUUUCAUUUGUAAUUUAUUUUAAUUAGAUUUAUAAUGAUAAUGGGAAUAUAAAAAAAUAUAAAUAACUACUAAAUGCAUCGCAGAGCGAAAAUUAGAAAUUAAUAUAUUAUAAAAAGUUUCACCAAACAUAUUUCUAUUAUUUCAUAUUUUCAGACAACCUAUCGAAUUUAUUUUUUACUUUUUUCAUUUGAUUUAUUGUUUCUUAAAAACAUAUAUUGUUUUGAAGCAAAAUACCAGACGCCUUUCACUUUCUAAAACAUCACAUAAAAAAUAUCAUUUUCUUCUCUGAAACAAUUACAAAAGAACAUAAAUUAAAAAAAUAAUAAUAAUGCCAAGCACACCAUUCUCUCGGAUUAGAGCCAACCAGAUUCACUUCUGAAACCACUAUAGAGAGGUUUAUGUCUGAAACAUGUUGAGUGAUGUUUUCCACCACAUUAACCUCUCGCUUCUUUUUAGGCAACCUGCAAUCUGAAGCCUUGUGACCCAUCUUAUCACAAUUAAAACAUUUUCCUUGAAACUUUAUUUGCUUCUUGGAAAUUCCUCUUUUCAGACCCAAUUUUUUAUUUUUAUUUUUAUUUUUAGGUCCAUGUUCAACAACAUUUGCCUUUGCCAUAGAAAUAGCCCUUCUUCUUUCUGCAUUUCUGUUAUCCUCCUCAAUUCGGAGCUUAACAACCAGCCCUUCAAUAUUCAUUUCCUUGCGUUUAUGCUUCAAAUAGCUCUUGAAAUCUUUCCAAGCAGGAGGUAAUUUUUUAAUAAUUGCAGGCACUUGAAAAGUUUCACUUACCAUCAUCCAUUCUGCAAGGAUUUCAGAUAAUAUGAUUUGAAGCUCUUGUACUUGAUUUAUUACAGUUUUAGAAUCCACCAUUUUAUAGUCUAUGAAGUGACCAACAACAAACUUUUUAGUACCCGCAUCCUCAGUUUUAUAUUUUCGGUCUAAGGAUUCCCAUAGCUCCUUGGCUGUUUUCUUUCCUAUGUAUACAUUAUACAAGGAAUCACUACGGCCAUUAAUUACAUAAUUUUUACAUAAAAAAUCAUAAUGAUGCCAUGUAUCAAUUGCACUUGCAACUUGAACAUCCGUUUCACCCUCUUUGGGUUUAGGAGCAUCCUCCGUCAAGAACCUCGCAAGGUUCAACGUGGUUAGGUAAAAAAACAUCUUUUCCUGCCAAUGUUUGAAAUUCUGGCCAUUGAAUUUUUCUGGCCUUUCCGCAUGAUUCACAGGAAUUGCCACAGAGGUUGGUUCCUUCACAACAGAUGGUCCACAGCAGAAGCUGAAACAAGGACAAUUGGAACUGCAUCAUUGGUUUCAGUUGCCAUCUCAACGUUAAUCUGUUUUAAGAUUAUAAGAAAAAUAAUAGUGAGAUAACAAUUUAAUGCAAUAGCUAAUUUAAACAACAACGUAAAACAGCAACUGAAAAUCACGAAUGAACAACUGAAAAACAGCACGGAAAAGAAAACCGAAAUAGAAAAAUAAAUCUGAGGCCUGCACAUGACAAUUUCCUUAAAACAAAUUUACCACCUACUGUAGUGCUUUAGGUUUGCUAGUAACUAUUUCCCAGGAUACAACGGGUAAGAAUUAUCCGUCAAGCACAAAUUGAUAAUUCUGGCGAACCACAACAGUGUAAAAGCUCGAUCAAGAAUAGAACGACGAAAGAAUGAAAGAAAUUUUGGAGAGAGCUUAUAUCCUUAAAAUUCUUAUUCAUACAUGGUUAAGUGUUUAUAUAUAAACACUAAUCCCUUGUCUUCUUUUUCCCAUGUGGGAUAAGCCUUAUUUCUUUUCAAAUUUCCAACUUCAAGGGUGCACUUUGAGAGACAAUUUCUCAUUCACCCAAGCACCAUUUUAAGUAAAUAAAUAUACACUUUUAAAGUAUUCACGGAAUAGAACCCGAACUUUACAAGAUUUCCCACUUUCGCUAAGUGGGAUCCACUCAAAAAGUGCCCUUAAAAUAGCAUGUUGAUAUGCUAUUUUUUCAACAUUCACAACGUUGUAAAACUUUAAAUUCACACAAAAAUUCGUGCAGACGUAAGCAGAAGAAAAGAACUCUACAUGUAAUUAAUUUCAGUAGCGAUGCGUAAAUUGUUUCCCAUGGUUAAAUUAUUAUUUUACGAUUCCACUGUGAGAAGAGAAGUUUGGUCCGAUAAAGAAGAGAACGAGGAAAAAGAAAAAGAAAAAAAAUCAGGAGUUCAAAGCUGCAGCGUAAUCAAUAGAAGCAGACAUGAAUAUUUUUACACGAGUACAUACAGUAAAUCUUAGAUAGCAAGUCGAAGAUACUAGUCUUAGUGGCUACUAUCAUUUUAUUCAAUAUUUAUAUAGAAGAGCCAUGUCACUUUAUUGAUGAUAUUACUCAUUGUUUAUUAUAAUUUAUGUGACAUGGUUUUUCAAGGAAAAUUUAGAAUUAUUUUGGCAUCACCAGCUUUUGCUUCUUGAGAGAAGAAGACGGCAAUGGAAAUGUUGUGAAACUCCAAUCGAGCACCUGAUGGCUUUCUGCCCUGAUGGGCCCUGUAGCUGCUGUGAAGCCAACAUAGACUGAGCUUGGAACUGUUUCUGACAAGAUAGUAGGCCUUUCAAUCAACUUCUGAAGUGGGUUCCCCGCAUAUGCCACAUAAACAUAGAGUAUUUUCGUCCAUCCAUCGUAAUAAAUUUUAACCUGGAUUGGUAUUCCACUUUUGAGCUCAAUGCCAAAACUUUCGAGACUCUCAGCUGGAUCUGAUGUUAAGCUUGCUACGUCGACGCCAAUAUGGUUAUCAUCUGGAUCAUACCCGUUCUUGAAAGUGUCCAGCUCCACGGCUAAUGGCGAAAAAUUUCCACCUACAUAAUAUGCGCGCGCCCAUGCAUGCAUGUCUGAUGUGUCAGUAUCUUAUUGUUAUCUGCAUUAAUUCUUAAUUCUUCACAUUGAUCAUCAUACCUGAUAUAGCCAGUCCAAGAUAUUCGCCGAGGCUGUUUUCUGAUGGGGGGCUGGUAUCGGUUGCAAGAACAAACGUCAUGCCAUCUGCGGAAUCAGUUGUGUUUGUGUAGGGUGAGAUCCUAAUGGUGAAGGUGGUACUAAUCAUAGCUGGCCAUGCAGUCACAGGCUGGCUGUAUAAAACCCGUCCAACCUUAUUUAGCGGCAGCUGAGCUGGUGAUUCUGGUAAAGGGUCUGAUGUGAGGCUUAAGUAGCCAUAACUUGGAGUCACUGCGCCCAUGCAAAUUAGGCUGCCAUCGCUACAACUUUUUGGGUUGAAUGAGGAAAAUGUGAAGCUAACAGGUUCAUCAUCAGGGAAUGAUGAAAAAGCUCCGCGAAGAAAAGCUGAGAGGAGUAGUAGGAAAAUCAUUUUUUGUUUUGGGAGGGCUACUUCUUGAAUGGCAUCACUCAGCUUCACAUGCGCUCAUUAUAUAGGGGACUUUAGGCUUUCUUUUUUAAUUUUUGUUUUUUAAUAAUUGUCGUUGUUGUUGUUAUUAUUAUUCUGUGUGUUAAGUUGAUAUUUUAAAGGUCACUCUCUAGUCUCUGACACAUCAUCCUUAUCUCUCUGUCUCACUCUUUUACCAUGACAAAAUCUUCUAUCUUCCGUCCUCUUUAGUCUUUCUUCUCUAUUCUUUUCCUCUAUUUUUUUCCCCCUUGUUGUCAUUACACAAUUUUUCUUUAUUUUUUUCAGUUCUCUGCAUCCUUUAUUUAUUUAUUUAUUUUGUAAAAGUAAAUCCUUAUUCUCCCCAUUAAAAAUCCUUCUAAAAGAAAACAAGCAAAAAAGAGUAAGUAACAUGUCAAAAUUGGUGGCUCAAUAAAAGCCACCAAAUUUUAUCAAGAAAUGCAGCACCGAAAUCGAUUUCUAGAUCUGCAUUGUUUUAAUUUUGAAACCCACAAUUGUGGACUUCUGUCUUCUUAGGCAAAAUUUUGCCAAUAAAUAGAAGCUCUCGUUUGAGAGUUUGGCAUCCUAUUUUGUGAGAAACAUUUCCCUAUUUGGAGAGUAAAGAAUUUUGAGAGCUUAAAAUAUAAAAGCUCUUGAGAGUUUUGUGAGUGAGAGUAUUAGAUGUAUUGGAGUUUUAAGUAAUGAGAUAAAAUACGAUAAUAUUUAUAUACUCCACAUCACUAGUAAAAUAUUUUUCUUUUGUCUUUGUCGAUGUACAUGGGCUAAAAGCCGGACCAUAUAAAUUUUGGUGUCUCUGUGUGAUUCUAUAAUCUUAAUAUUUAUCAAUUUUACUUUAGUUAUGUAUCUGCUUUACCCAUCAAUUUUCUAACAGUGGUAUUAGAGUAAUUCAUUGUAUUUUUUAAGUCAAGGUACUAUUAACAUAAACAAUAUUGUUCACGUAUGAGGCAUUGUUCACACAUAUGAUACUAUUCACAUACAAGGUUCACGUGAAACGGUGGGAGCGAUCCAAGAAUUUUGCAGUGCAAAGUAAAGAAUAAUGGUGUGAGUGAAGUAACCGUAUGGUUUUGUACAUGUUUAGGAAAGUUUUGUCACAAAGCCGACAAGAGCAUCAGGAGUCUGGGUUCUAAGUGGGAUCGUUGUGGCCACUCUAGUAUAUCCUAAAACUUUUCUGGUGUGCAUUUUUACACAUACGAUCACUUGAUACUAUUCAAGGUGGUACAUUAGCUUGUGUACGGUAUUUAUCAACAAAAUGGCAACAAAGUUUGAAAUUCAGAAGUUCAACGAAAGUAAUUUCUUAUUGUGGAAAAUGAUGAUGCGGGAAAUUUUGAGGAAAAAUAAUUGCUUCGAAGUAAUUGGGAAAACGUCUGUAUUAUCCAGCCCAAAAAACUAGUUUAUUGAGUGGAGUGACUUAUCCUCCUUAUAAACUCAAGUAUCUCUACUUUACUAGUCAAUGUUGGACACAAUCCAACAAUUUUUCUAACCUUAAAAACAAAAUUUGAAAAUUAUUUAAUGAACGACUGGUAAAAUACUGUUGUUCAAGUUUUUGGCAACGGCUGCAUGAGGUUCAAUCAAUGAUGCAUUGUACGAUAACCCUGAAAUAAAAGAAUUUAAAACGGCAUAAAAUUGUUCAAGUUAUUAUUAUUAUUAUUAUUAUUAUUAUUAUUAUUAUUAUUAUUAUUUCAUAGAUCAUAGUAAUAAUUAAUGAAAAAACAAAAUUACAGUCAUAGAAUAACAAUUACACCUAAUUUUAUUUGAACAACUAAUAUUAUAAUUUUUAAUUUAUCAUAAAAAUAUUUCAUUCAUAAUUUUUUUUGUGUAUAAAUAUGAAAAAUAUUUCACUCACAAAUGAAAUAUAUCUCCAUUAACUAUUGACUAAUUUACGACUUCAUAAAUGAAAUAUUGAUGUCGUAAAAUUUUUAAUUUAUCAUUUAUAAAAUCAUGGUAUUUAUAAUUUUAUUUAUUAAAAUCAUGAUAUAUAUUUGUUCAUUUAAUAAAUUAUAAACAUAAAAAAAUAGAAUAUUUAUUUAAACUAGGACUUAAAUUAAUUUUUAAAAUCUUGUGCUAAAAAAAUAUUAAAAAUUUUAAUUUAAAAAUAAUUGUAAAAUCAUAACAUUUUAUAUUAAUUUUUCACUAAAAAUUUUUAUUUUUAUAUACUUUGGCUCACGUGUUAUUGAUGGCCCAUGGGCCGCGUGUUAGCCUACCAACGAAGCGUGUUUAUUACGUGUUUUUUCGCGUGCCAUGUUUUGUCUCAUCUCUAAUUGUACAAUGCUUUUAAGGGUCACGUGCCUAAAAUUAUAGGCCCAGCACGGUCCACGUGCGUGCCAUGCCGUGCCGCAUGCCUUACCAAAAUGUGUUCAUGUCGUGUAGUGUUAUAUGGAUAUAUGUCGUGCCCGUAUCGUGCCAGGUGCUGCUCGGCCCAUUGGCCAUCUUUAUCCGACGCCGAUCAGUUAAUUAAUGUUGUGUACUGGUGUGUGUGUGUGUGUGAAAGGUCUAGGCACAUGGAUCUGAUGAGGCCUCUGGCCUACAAAGACGAGCAAAUCAUUAUAAAAUGACAAUGUCCAUACUCCAUACGAAGAGAUGAAGAAGCGUUAUAAUCUCGUGACUUUAAUUCAGUCCAUGCAAUCCGCAUCGUGAAUAAAGGGGUGACUCUUGGACCUCACACGUGGCAUGUUUGGUCACCUUGGAAAUUGUUGAUGACCACAUCUUGCAUGACGCCAAAGCAAGGGAACAUUGUGAUUCACUUAAAUAUUCACGUUUUUUUUUUUAGGCUAUUAGAUUUCAAUUUCAUAUACUCUUUAGGAUAAUAUGAUUUUCUGGACCUUGUGAACUAUAUAAUUUAGAAUUUUAGAUAAUUCAAUUGUACAUCGUGAGCGAUUUCUCUUUUUCACAUAUCAAUUCAAUUGUACGGCUUUAGGAUAACACAAUGGAGAUUUGAUUAGAACUCCAAAAUACAUCCAAUAAACGAAACGGGUUUGAAUAAUUUUACACAACAAUCUUACUUUUGACAAAAUAUUGAGUUACUUUCACAACACCUCUUCCACUUCCACAUACACGAAAGCCAAUCAAUAGCCCUAUCUAUAAUUAAGUCAUAUAAACUAUUUGGUGCUCCACGAAGAGUUUUAUUUCUCUGUUAAUAUGCAGUAAAAUCUCAAUGAAUACUAAAAUUUCGAGACUCUAAACAAUUUAUUAAUUGUGGAAAAUAUUAUAUAAUUAAUUAAAAGAUUAAUAAUUUACUAGUUUAUGAAGAUAUUUCUUAUUUUCAAAAAAUAUAUGAUCACAUUUAUAGCAUUGAUUUGUCUUGAUUUUAUAUUUAUUAUGUUUUAUUUGAAUAUUAGUUAAUUGUCUUACAUUGAUUGUAAUAAGAUUAUUAUAGACCUUUUAUUUUUUCAUGUUAAGAGUUAUAGCUGUACUAUAUAUGGAAUCCGUCUUGCGCGGAGAAACACUCAAAGUGAUAUUAACAUUGACCAAUUUCCAUUGCAAAAUGACGAUACCAAUUGAUUUUUUUUUUUUUGCAUUAAAAAAAAUAGAGAUGAGAUUCAAGUCAAAAUUAAAUCCAAAAAGAAUCUAAAAGUUUUAAGAGCACAUCUCACAAAAACCACGUAUACAUAUAUUAUAUGACUUAAUUUUAUAUUAGGGUGAUUAUUAAUUUAUAUAUUACGUGCCUCCUGUGGAAUCACAUGGAUUUUUAAAAAUAUUAAUUUAUAGAUUUUAUUGAAUUAUUAACACGUUGGCCCUAAGUCGGAAAUAACAAAAAUUAUUAUUUAAUUGAGAUUUUUAAUUUAUUGACCAUUAAUUUUUUAAGAUUGUACUGUAAUUAGUUGGUCUUUUUUCAAUGCAAAAUAAAUUGACAAAUCAUAUAAAUGAGGUGACAUAUGGCUUACCACAAUUUCUUUCUUAAUUAAUUUAUCGAGGAUAUGAUAAAAGCAAAAUGAAAAGAUGAUCAGCUCUAAGGCCUAAUUUAUACAAAAUGUUUAAUGCUUUGAUAACAUAAAAAGUAAGUAAUCAUCAUCGUAAAUUAGGGAUUCAUCUUCCAAAUAUAUAUGCAUGUUAUAUUGGCAAUGAUUUUGCCAUAGAUAAAUGUCAUUAUGGAUAUUAGCCAAAUAUAUCUUGAUUAAGAAAGAAUCUUUGAUGUGCAUUCUUAUCACAUAUUUCAUAUUUAUUAUCCAUGAAAGUAUGCACUACGCUAUAAAUGUAUGAAUCCAGAUUUUUACUAAAGUUGACACUGUUAAAUUUUUUUGUGAAUUUGAGAGUUCACGAUGUUGUGAACCACUAAAUUUACACACUAAUUCGUGCGGAUAUCUGCAGGAGGGAAGGACUGUCCAUGUAAAUAUCUGUUGUGAUGCGUACAUUGUUUCCAUGUAUGGUUGAAUUUUCAUUUUAUGAUUUCCACUAUGAGAAGAGAAUUUUGGUCGGAUAAAGAAGAGAACGAGGAAAAAGAAAAAGAAGACAUCAAAAGUUCAAAGCUGCAACGUAAUCAAUAGAAGCUGAAUAUGAACAUUUCUACACAAGUACAUGCAGAACAUCUCAGAUAGCAAGCCAACAAUAUUAAUCUUAGUCAGCUUCUAGAGCCAUGUCACUUUAUUGACGAUAUUAGUUAUUUUUAUUUAUUAUAAUUUAUGUGACAUGGUUUUUCAAGGACGGUUUAGAAUUUUAUAUUGGCAUCGCCAGGUUUUGCUCCUCCAGAGAAGAAGAAGGCAAUGGGAACGUUGUGAAGGUCCAAUCAAGCACCUGAUGGCUUUCUGAAAAGUCGGGCCCUGUGGAUGCUGUGAAGCCAACAUAGACUGAGCUUGGAAGGCGAAGCCCGCCAACAAAAAUGGAAGAAAAACGGAAACCCACUUGAUCGAUCAUUUUUGUCUUUUCUAUAUAUGCAGUAAAGGUGUGUUUGGUAUUGUUUUUCAGCUGUCGUUCUAUUUUUUACAAAAACAAAAAACAAGAAAACAUGUUUGCAGGCUGUUUCGUAACCGUAGAAGGGGAAAGUUAGGAGGCAUAAAAAAAAAAAAAAAAAAAAAAAAAAAAGGCACUGCGUCAGUAUGUUAUUGUUUCCAUUGGGCCCAAUCGAAAUCAUUUACUUUGAUCAAUUUUGAUUUUGUGUUGGAGUAAAGAUGGUGUUGGAUUGAAGUGAACGAUAUAAAAACAGGCAUAAAAUUGACACGUACAGUCAAUCUCAAUUGGUAAAUAUCUGUUUAAAGAAUUUGGAAUAAAACAAUCACUAAAUAGUGUACGCAGCCUGUAAACAACUUGCAACAAUAUUUACAGUAAAUAGAGCAAAUUUUUGGUUUAUGCAAUUAACAGUGCGAAACAAUUAAGUGUAGUGUGAGAGCAAAUGUAAAGGUGCCUGAACAAGUCAUCCGUAUUUGGAGCAACAAUAAAUAAAAUAAAUAACUCUGUUCGGUGGAAGCAGGCUGAAAAUAACCCAACUAAGCCACUAUAAUUUAGAAGGGGAAGUAAGGCUGCUUGUAUCGUGAGUGAUUGGAUUGUUGAUUAAUUAUUUUUGAAGUCUCAAAACUUGGUUUCCUUGAAGAUCAUCAUGGAAAACUAACGUUCACAAAUUAGUUUGGCAAGUUGGCUUGUUAAUGUAUGAAGGAGAAAAAAAGUAGCCAAAUUAAUGGCUAACGUUGAUGGGAAGACCAUCAAAUUUUCAGAAAUUUUUUCAAAAUCUAGACCCCAGGGUUUUCCAUUCCAAAAAAUAAAAAAUAAAAAAUCCGAAGCUCUUUCUCUUGUGCUAGAUUUUGCAACCGAUGCAGUCUUGACCUCUCGUAAUUAUACCGAUACUUUUUUUGUGUACUUCUAAUUCCAACUACUUCCAGUAAGCAGCAAUAUCUUGACUCUUGAGACUGUUUUUAGGAGUCCUUCACUCAAGUAUAACAAUUAUUCUUGAAAGAUUGAUAAUUAGUCUUUGACUUUGUGUGUUUAACCACGGAUAAUUUUUUGGCUUUUGACCUUUUCACCCUCAUCUUCAAUUCGUCUUCAUCUUCAUCAACAGAACUAACUCAAAUGGUAUCACAUUUCUACUAUGUGUAUCACGUUUAAAACUAUAUCCUUUGGAUUAUAUAAGUUCAAAUCCAACGAUCAUUUCAAAUGGGGAUAGAAAAUGGAGUACCUUACCACCACGGUUAAGGCAGCUGGACCUAUAUGUAUUAUGGUAAUUUAUAAAUAUUUUUAUUACUAAUUUCAAUUGUAAUUUAUUUUAAUUAGAUUUGUAAUGAUAAUAGGAAUAUAAAAAAGCAUAAAAACUAGAUGCAUUGCAGAGCAAAAAAUAGAAAUUAAUAUAUUAUAAAAAAAUUUCACCAAACACAUUUCUAUUAUUUUGAUAUUUUCAAACAAACUACCAAACUUACCUUUUACAUUUUUUUCUUUUUCAUUUGACAUCUUAUCUUGAAAACAAAAUACCAAAUGCCUUUCCCUUUUAAGAACAUCACAUCAAAAAUAUCAUUUUUCUCUUCUAAAAAAUUUUAAAAAAAUACAAAAUAAUAAUAAUAAUAAUACCAACCACACUCUAAAGGUUUUGUAAUUUGCAAUAUCUGACACAGAUCAAUGAAUUAAGAUUGUAUGUGUUCGAGGGAGAUGAUAUGUGAUGGAGCUUUGGCCUAUAAAGACAAGUAAAUCAUUGGAAAAUGACAAAAAUGACAAUGUCUUUAUGAAGACAUGAAUACACGUGAUAAUCUCGUGACUUUAAUUUAGUCCAUUCAAAUCGCAUAAUGAAUAUAGGGGAGACAAAGUCUGUGUUCUAGGGAGAUGAUAUAGUAAUAAGCUUAUUAUAGAGUUUUUAUUUUUCCAUGUUAAGAAUGAUGGUUGUACUUUGGAAUCCAUGUUGUACAAAGAAGAACUCAAAGUAAUAUUAUUAUAAAAUAAUUUCUUGUUGCAAAACAACAAUACAAUUGAACUUUUUUGUACGUUAAGAAAAUUAGAUAUGAGAUUUAAGUCAAAAUUCAUUCCAAAAAGAAACUAGCAAUUUUAAGAGUGUAUUUUACAAAAACCAUAUGUACAUAUACUAUGUCGACUUAGUUUUAAAUUAGGUGAUUGUUAAUUAAUGUAUAACGGGUAUCCUAUGGAAAAAUAUGGAUUUUUAAAAAAUAUUACCUUACAGAUUUUAUUAAAUUAUUAAUAUAUUGGCCUAAAGUCGAAAAUAACAAAAAUUAUUAUUUAAUCAAGAUUAAUUUAUUAAUAUCGUACCGUACUUAGUUGGUCUUUUUUCAAUGCAAAAUAAAAUGACAGAUCAUAUAAAUGAAGUGACAUGUGGCUUACUUCAAUUUCUUUCUUAAUUAAUUUAAUGAGGAUAUGGUAAAAGCAAAAUAAAAAGAUCAUUAGCUCUAAGGCCUAAUCUAUACAAAAUGAUUAAUAACAUAAAAGUAAGUGAUCAAUCAUCCUAGCUGUAUGGUUGGGAUUCAUCUUCCAAUAUAUAUGUAUGUUAUAUUGGCAAUGAUUUUGCCAUAUAUAAAUGUCAUUAUGGACAUUAGCCAAAUAUAUCUUGAUUUGGAAAGAGUCCUUUAUGUGAAUUCUUAUCACAUAUUUCAUAUUUAUUGUCGAUAGAACUAUAGACUAUGCUAUAGAUGUAUGAAUUCAUAUUUCUAAUCAAGUUUAUAUUGUUAUAUAGAUGUAGAGAAAAAUUUUGGACGUCUGCACGAAUUUAAUUUCAUUUGAAUUUAGAAGUUCAUAAUAUUGUGAAACUCUAAAUUUGUCCAAUAAUUCAUGGGGACGUUCGCAGUAGAAAAGGACUCUAAAUGUAAUUAAUAUUUGCGGCAAUGCAUACAUUGUGUCCCAUGGUUAAAUUUUUAUUUUAUGGUUUCCACUGUGAGAAGAGAAUUUUCGUCCCAUAAAGAAGAGAACGAGGAAAAAGAAAAAGAAAGAAGUUCAAAACUGCAGCGUAAUCAAUAGAAGCUGACAUGAACAUUUCUACACAAGUACACACGGUAAAUCUCAGAUAGCAAGCCAAAGAUAUUAGUCGUAGUCGCUGCUAUCAUUUUAUUCCAUAUUUAUACAGGAGCCAUGUCACUUUAUUGAUGAUAUUAUUAUUUAUUAUAAUUUUUAUAUGACAUGGUUCUUCAAGGCUAGUUUAGAAUUAUAUUGGGAUCGCCAGGUUUUGCUUCUUGAUAGAAGAAGGCGGCAGCGGGAAUGUUGUGAAGGUCCAAUCAAGCACCUGAUGGCUUUCUGCUCUCCCGAGCCCUGUAGAUGCCGUGAAGCCAACAUAGACUGAGCUUAGAACUGUUUCUGAGAUGACAAUAGGUCUUUCAAUCAACUUCUGAAGUGGGUUCCCCGCAUAUGCCACAUAAACAUAGAGUAUUUUCGUCACUUGAACCUGGAUCGGUCUUCCACUUUUGAGAUCAAUGCCAAAGCUGUCGAGACUCUUAGCUGGAUCUGAUAUUAAGCUUGCUAUGUCGAUGCCGAUAUGGUUAUUAUCUGGAUCAUUUUUAUUUUUGUUCUUGAAUGUGUCCAGCUCCACGGCUAAUAUCGAACCAUUGUUACCUACAUAUAUAAUUUGCAUAUGCAUUAUAUAGAUAUAAAUAAAUAUAUAUAUAUAUAUAAUUAUCUCAAGAAGGUUUCCGCACAUUAUUUGGUGAGGGUUCCCCACCAUAUGCUACUAUUACAACACCCGCCAUAUGGUAUAACAACAUUUCUUCAUUUUAAUAAAGCGUAGAACUCUCAUUAUAUAGUUCUUCUUCAAUAAGAAUAUUUUUAUUUUGUUAAAGUGAAAAUAUUACUAAAAUAUUUAAAAAUAAUAAUAUAUUAGAUACUGUGUUUUUUUAUCUGAUAAUUUAGUAAAAUAUGUAUUUUUUGUCUAUUAAUGACAUCCAUAGUUUAUUAAAACGAGGUUGUAUUCAAUAAUAAUAAUAAUAAUAUACACGCAUAUAUAUCAUCAUAUUGUUUAUCAGUACUGUUAUUAUAUAUAUUAUUCGCCUAUGCAAGCAUCAAGUAUGUGUCAGUACUUUAUCUGUGUUAAUUCUUAAUUAUUCACAUUUGAUCAUCAUACCCGAUGUAGUCAGUUCAAGAUUUCCGAAGCCGCUGUUUGGUGGUGAAGGGCUGCUAUCGGGUGUAAGAACAAACGUCAUGACUUCUGCCGAAUCCGUUGUAUUUGGGUAGGGUGAGAUCCUAAUGGUGAAGGUGGUACUAAUCAUAGCUGGCCAUGCAGUCACAGGCUGGCUGUAUAAAACCCGUCCAACCUUAUUUAGCGGCAGCUGAUCUGGCGAUUCUGGUGAAGGGUCUGAUGUGAGGCUUAAGUAGCCAUAACUUGGAGUCACUGCGCCAAUGCAAAUUAGGCUGCCAUCG